rnacentral:rRNA from 1 species
ACGGGUGAGUAACACGUAAGUAAUCUGCCUUUAAGACUGGGAUAACCUUGCCAACGCGGGGCUAAUACCGGAUGUGGUCAGUUAGGCGCAUGCCAGAUUGAUUAAAGGAGUGAUCCACUUAAAGAUGAACUUGCGGCCCAUUAGCUUGUUGGCGGGGUAACGGCCCACCAAGGCUGCGAUGGGUAGCCGGCCUGAGAGGGUGUACGGCCACAUUGGGACUGAGAUACGGCCCAGACUCCUACGGGAGGCAGCAGUAGGGAAUUUUGCGCAAUGGACGAAAGUCUGACGCAGCAACGCCGCGUGAGGGAUGAAGGCCUUCGGGUUGUAAACCUCUGUUGAAUGGGAAAAAAGGGUAGCAAUACUUUGAUGGUACCAUUUGAGGAAGCACCGGCUAACUACGUGCCAGCAGCCGCGGUAAUUCGUAGGGUGCAAGCGUUGUUCGGAAUCACUGGGCGUAAAGGGAGCGUAGGCGGGAUCGUAAGUUAGGAGUUUAAUACAUGGGCUUAACCCGUGGCUGGCUUUUAAUACUGCGGUUCUUGAGUAUGGGAGAGGGCGAUGGAAUUCCAGGU